rnacentral:rRNA from 1 species
GAUGAACGCUGGCGGCAUGCCUAAUACAUGCAAGUCGAGCGGACAAAUGAAGCGUUUUCUCGUAUGCAGUUAGGGGCGGACGAGUGAGUAACAGGAGGCUACCUUACAUAUAGGGAUAGGGUAAGGAAAGGAAAGCGAAGAUAACAUACGAUAAUAUGGUGAAAGGCAUGGUUCAUUGGAGAUAACCGGAUCAGAUGAGCCUAAGCGGCAUUAGCUAGUUGGUAUGGUAAAGGGGUACCAAGGCGACGAUCCGUAACUGAGCUGAGAGGAUGAUCAGACACACUGGAACUGAGACACGGUCCAGACUCCUACGGGAGGCAGCAGUAGGGAAUCUUCCGCAAUGGGCGAAAGCCUGACGCAGCCACGCCGCGUGUGUGAUGAAGGUCUUCGGAUCGUAAAACUCUGUUAUUUGGGAAGAACAAAUGUAUAAGUAACCAUUCACGUCUUGACGUUACCUACUCAAAAAGCACCGGCUAACUUCGUG